UGGGGAAUAUUGCACAAUGGGCGCAAGCCUGAUGCAGCGACGCCGUGUGGGGGAUGACGGCCUUCGGGUUGUAAACCUCUUUCAGCCGGGACGAAGGCCUUUGGGUUGACGGUACCGGCAGAAGAAGCGCCGGCCGAACUACGUGCCAGCAGCCGCGGUAAGACGUAGGGCGCGAGCGUUGUCCGGAUUUAUUGGGCGUAAAGAGCUCGUAGGCGGCUUGUUGCGUCGGCUGUGAAAACCCGCGGCUUAACUGUGGGCGGGCAGCUGAUACGGGCGGGCUGGAGUUCGGUAGGGGAGACUGGAAUUCCUGGUGUAGCGGUGAAAUGCGCAGAUAUCAGGAGGAACACCGGUGGCGAAGGCGGGUCUCUGGGCCGAUACUGACGCUGAGGAGCGAAAGCGUGGGGAGCGAACAGGAUUAGAUACCCUGGUAGUCCACGCUGUAAACGUUGGGCGCUAGGUGUGGGGUGCCUCUCCGGUGUCCUGUGCCGUAGCUAACGCAUUAAGCGCCCCG
rnacentral:rRNA from 1 species